rnacentral:rRNA from 1 species
GAUUGAACGCUGGCGGCAGGCCUAACACAUGCAAGUCGAGCGGUAGCACAGAGAGCUUGCUCUCGGGUGACGAGCGGCGGACGGGUGAGUAAUGUCUGGGAAACUGCCUGAUGGAGGGGGAUAACUACUGGAAACGGUAGCUAAUACCGCAUAACGUCGCAAGACCAAAGUGGGGGACCUUCGGGCCUCAUGCCAUCAGAUGUGCCCAGAUGGGAUUAGCUAGUAGGUGGGGUAACGGCUCACCUAGGCGACGAUCCCUAGCUGGUCUGAGAGGAUGACCAGCCACACUGGAACUGAGACACGGUCCAGACUCCUACGGGAGGCAGCAGUGGGGAAUAUUGCACAAUGGGCGCAAGCCUGAUGCAGCCAUGCCGCGUGUGUGAAGAAGGCCUUCGGGUUGUAAAGCACUUUCAGCGGGGAGGAAGGCGUUAAGGUUAAUAACCUUGUCGAUUGACGUUACCCGCAGAAGAAGCACCGGCUAACUCCGUGCCAGCAGCCGCGGUAAUACGGAGGGUGCAAGCGUUAAUCGGAAUUACUGGGCGUAAAGCGCACGCAGGCGGUCUGUCAAGUCGGAUGUGAAAUCCCCGGGCUCAACCUGGGAACUGCAUUCGAAACUGGCAGGCUAGAGUCUUGUAGAGGGGGGUAGAAUUCCAGGUGUAGCGGUGAAAUGCGUAGAGAUCUGGAGGAAUACCGGUGGCGAAGG